ACUCCUACGGGAGGCAGCAGUCGGGAAUUUUGCACAAUGGGCGAAAGCCUGAUGCAGCAACGCCGCGUGAGGGAUGAAGGCCUUCGGGUUGUAAACCUCUUUUCUCAGGGAAGAUAAUGACGGUACCUGAGGAAUAAGCCACGGCUAACUACGUGCCAGCAGCCGCGGUAAU
rnacentral:rRNA from 1 species